rnacentral:rRNA from 1 species
AGGCCUACGGGACGCAGCAGUGAGGAAUAUUGGUCAAUGGGCGCGAGCCUGAACCAGCCAAGUAGCGUGAAGGAUGACUGCCCUACGGGUUGUAAACUUCUUUUAUAAAGGAAUAAAGUGAGGCACGUGUGCCUUUUUGUAUGUAUUUUAUGAAUAAGGAUCGGCUAACUCCGUGCCAGCAGCCGCGGUAAUACGGAGGAUCCGAGCGCUAUCCGGAUUUAUUGGGUUUAAAGGGAGCGUAGAUGGGUUGUUACGUCAGUUGUGAAAGUUUGCGGCUCAACCGUAAAAUUGCAAUUGAUACUACC